UUUCUAGUAGCAGUUCAUAGUAAAACUUAAUUUAUUGUCAAACUUCCUAGAAAAGCCCGAACUACUAACAACUAAAAAUGACCUGUACCCGAAACCGACACAGGUAGGUGGGUAGAGUAUACCUAGGGGCGCGAGAUAACUCUCUCUAAGGAACUCGGCAAAAUGGCCCCGUAACUUCGGGAGAAGGGGUACCCUCAAUUAUAAUGAGGGUCGCAGUGACCAGGCCCAGGCGACUGUUUACCAAAAACACAGGUCUCCGCAAAGUCGUAAGACAACAUAUGGGGGCUGACGCCUGCCCAGUGCCGGAAGGUGAAGGAAGUUGGUUAUUCUUACGAAGGAGCUGACGACCGAAGCCCCGGUGAACGGCGGCCGUAACGAUAACGGUCCUAAGGUAGCGAAAUUCCUUGUCAGGUAAGUUCUGACCCGCACGAAAGGCGUAACGAUCUGGGCACUGUCUCGGAGAGAGACUCGGUGAAAUAGACAUGUCCGUGAAGAUGCGGACUUCCUACACCUGGACAGAAAGACCCUAUGAAGCUUGACUGUAGCCUGAAAUUGGGUUCGGGCUCUUUUUGCGCAGCCUAGGUGGGAGGCUAUGAAAAUCCCCUUCCGGGGGGGUUUGAGCCAUCAGUGAGAGACCACUCUGAAAGAGCUAGAAUUCUAAUAGCGCUCCUUGAAUCAGGACGCUUGACAGUUUCAGGUAGGCAGUUUGACUGGGGCGGUCGCCUCCUAAAAAGUAACGGAGGCGUGCAAAGGUUCCCUCAGGCUGGACGGAAAUCAGCCGAAGAGUGUAAAGGCAGAAGGGAGCUUGACUGCAAGGCCUACAAGUCGAGCAGGGGCGAAAGCCGGCCUUAGUGAUCCGACGGUAUUGAGUGGAAAAGCCGUCGCUCAACGGAUAAAAGUUACUCUAGGAUAACAGGCUGAUCUUCCCCAAGAGUUCACAUCGACGGAAAGGUUUGGCACCUCGAUGUCGGCUCAUCGCAACCUGGGGCGGUAGUACGUCCCAAGGGUUGGGCUGUUCACCCAUGAAACCGGUACGUGAGCUGGGUUCAGAACGUCGUGAGACAGUUCGGUCCAUAUCCGGUGUAGGCGGUAGAGCAUUGAGAGGAGCCUUCCAUUGUACGAGAGGACCUGGAAGGACGCACCACUAGUAUACCAGUUCUUGUGCCAACGGGAAACGCUGGGUAGCCAAGUGCGGAGCGGAUAACUGCUGAAAGCAUCUAAGUAGGAAGCCCACCUCAAGAUGAGUGCUCUCUUAAGGUCACGGCAAGACAAGCCGUUUGAUAGGUGUUAAGUAGAAGGUCAGUAAUGGUUGAAGCUGAAACAUCCUAAUAGACCGAUUGA
rnacentral:rRNA from 1 species